GACGAACGCUGGCGGCAUGCUUAACACAUGCAAGUCGAACGGUAAGCCCCGGCUGCUGUGGUGUGCGCGAGGGGCGAACGGGUGAGUAGUACGUGAGUACCCUGCCCUGGACUUUAGGAUAACUUCAGGAAUGUGGGGCUAAUACCGGAUGGGAGCUCCUCUGGCAAGGUGGGGGGUGGAAAGUCUCGGCGGUGGUGGAUGGACUCGCGGAUUAUUAGCUUGUUGGUGAGGUAAUGGCUUACCAAGGCGUUGACGGGUAGCGGGCCUGGGAGGGUGAUCGGCCACAUAGGGACUGAGAUACGGCCCAGACUCCCACGGGGGGCAGCAGUGGGGAAUAUUGCACAAUGGGCGGAAGCCUGAUACAGCAAAACGGCGUGGGGGAUGACGGGCUUCGGGGUGCGAAAAGCUUUCGCCUGGGGGGAGGCGUGAGGAACGGAAAUGGGGAAGAAGGCACGGCUAACCCAGUU
rnacentral:rRNA from 1 species